rnacentral:tRNA from 1 species
GGAAAGUUGCCAGAGUGGUCGAAUGGGGCGGUCUCGAAAACCGUUGUUCGCGCAAGCGGACCAAGGGUUCGAAUCCCUUACUUUCCG